GUAGGGAAUCUUGCGCAAUGGGCGAAAGCCUGACGCAGCCAUGCCGCGUGAAUGAUGAAGGUCUUAGGAUUGUAAAAUUCUUUCACCGGGGACGAUAAUGACGGUACCCGGAGAAGAAGCCCCGGCUAACUUCGUGCCAGCAGCCGCGGUAAUCCGCAGGGGGCUAGCGUUGCUAGGAAUUACUGGGCGUAAAGGGCGCGUAGGCGGACAGUUUAGUCAGAGGUGAAAGCCCAGGGCUCAACCUUGGAAUUGCCUUUGAUACUGGCUGUCUUGAGUACGGGAGAGGUGAGUGGAACUCCGAGUGUAGAGGUGAAAUUCGUAGAUAUUCGGAAGAACACCAGUGGCGAAGGCGACUCACUGGCCCGUUACUGACGCUGAGGCGCGAAAGCGUGGGGAGCAAACAGGAUUAGAAACCCGAGUAGUCC
rnacentral:rRNA from 1 species